GAAAAUCCGUCGAUUUUUAAAAUCGUGAGGGUUCAAGUCCCUCUAUCCCCA
rnacentral:tRNA from 5 species